UAUAAUCAUUACAAACCUACGUUCUGGUUGACGUUAUAUGCGCGUCUGAUAUGCAGCACAUGUCGAGUUAUGAGCAUAGCAUAUAACUUACACUGGCUUCUUAAAAUUGUACAUCCUAUAUGGAUGAUUGUCGUGUAGGUAGUAUCGUGUUUGCAUUUCAGGCAAUGUUGCGAAAAAGAACAGUCACAUCAACGCUCAGCUCAUGUUUUAAAUUGGAUUUCUUGAUUAGAUCCAUCAAUCUGGAGUCAACAAACUACUGAAAGGAACGCAGUGAAGCAUCAAUCCGCGAAUAUAUCUUGGCAACUAUUUCAUGUUUUUUAUCUUGGCAAGUUAUCUAAAAAUAACUAACUAAACUAACCCUUAAUUAUUGAAAAAUCUUUCCUUUUAUAGAACAUCAAUUCGACAACAAAUUAUUAUAACAGACAGGACGCCAAAAGCCAUUGGAAAAAUGUCCAUCCUGCAAAAUUCCAAGCUUCCAUAAUAAUUUGAAGAUUCAAUUCAAUCAAAAAGAGGGCCUUUACUAAUUUUGUUUAUAUAUUUAUAAUGGAAUAAGUAAAUAAAAGUUUGGUAAACUUUUAACUUUUAAA